rnacentral:rRNA from 1 species
AUUGAACGCUGGCGGCAGGCCUAACACAUGCAAGUCGAGCGGAUGAAGGGAGCUUGCUCCUGGAUUCAGCGGCGGACGGGUGAGUAAUGCCUAGGAAUCUGCCUGGUAGUGGGGGAUAACGUCCGGAAACGGGCGCUAAUACCGCAUACGUCCUGAGGGAGAAAGUGGGGGAUCUUCGGACCUCACGCUAUCAUAUGAGCCUAGGUCGGAUUAGCUAGUUGGUGGGGUAAAGGCCUACCAAGGCGACGAUCCGUAACUGGUCUGAGAGGAUGAUCAAUCACACUGGAAGUGAGACACGGUCCAGACUCCUACGGGAGGCAGCAGUGGGGAAUAUUGGACGAUGGGCGAAAGCCUGAUCCAGCCAUGCCGCGUGUGUGAAGAAGGACUUCGGAUUGUAAAGCACUUUAAGUUGGGAGGAAGGGCAGUAAGUUAAUACCUUGCUGUUUUGACGUUACCAACAGAAUAAGCACCGGCUAACUUCGUG